CCCUGCUUGCAGACAGGUGCCAACAACUCCAGGCUGAUUCCAAGCCCCUAGGUGCAUUUAACAAUCCCCAAACCCCUACUUGAAGGACAUUGUUUCCAUGGACUGAAGCAAUUUUUAUAACCUACUGAAAAAUAAUUCAGAUUUGGAUACCAGGGCCCAUUCUACAUUGCUGGACGGCUGCCCCUGAUGUAUAAGCCUCCUAUCACUGCAUCAUAUUUAGUUCACAAAUCCCAAACAAAGUAAGUAAUACAAAAGCACACAAACUGGUUUACUUCAAAC